UGGAAGAUUACUCAAGUGGUUAAGAGGGCAGGUUGCUACCUUGCUAGGCGUGUAAAAGCGUGCGUGGGUUCGAAUCCUACAUCUUCCGU
rnacentral:tRNA from 1 species